rnacentral:rRNA from 1 species
UACGUAGGGUGCAAGCGUUAAUCGGAAUUACUGGGCGUAAAGCGUGCGCAGGCGGUUUUGUAAGUCUGUCGUGAAAGCCCCGGGCUCAACCUGGGAAUUGCGAUGGAGACUGCAAGGCUUGAAUCUGGCAGAGGGGGGUAGAAUUCCACGUGUAGCAGUGAAAUGCGUAGAGAUGUGGAGGAACACCGAUGGCGGAAGGCAGCCCCCUGGGUCAAGAUUGACGCUCGAUGCACGAAAGCGUGGGGAGCAAACAGG